CUUGGGCUGAGUCCUAGAUACUGUCAGAUUAUGUGGAGUGUAUCUCUGACCUGCAAUCCUGUUACACGUGCAGGGAAGCCUCAUACAACUCAACUGGCAGUGAUGGCCAGUUCGCCGUGUUUCGCCCACGAACACAUGCAGGCUGCCAUCUUGACUCACCCGUCCGGCGAUGCACAGGUCUUCCAUGAGUAUAACUCCCAGGGUCGCGGACACGUGAACUGUUC